GAGGCAAAUUUCCCCCGUACGUUCGCAAUAAGGGGGGCCUCUGGCGGUUAGCUUAGGCAAAGCUGCUGGAGGCCGCAGAGAAAUGGCUCUUCCAACUGUUUAACAAAAACACAGGUCUCUGCUAAGUCGAAAGACGAAGUAUAGGGGCUGACGCCUGCCCAGUGCUGGAAGGUUAAGGGGAGAGGUUAGGGGUAACCCGAAGCUUUGAGCCGAAGCCCCAGUGAACGGCGGCCGUAACUAUAACGGUCCUAAGGUAGCGAAAUUCCUUGUCGGGUAAGUUCCGACCCGCACGAAUGGCGUAAUGAGAGGAGCACUGUCUCAACGAGGGACUCGGCGAACAUUGAAGGACGUGUGAAGAUACACGUGACCCGCAGCGGGACAAAAAGACCCCGUGAAGCUUUACUACAACUUGCCAUUGAGUUAGGGCUAAACCUGUGUAGCAUAGGUGGGAGGCUUUGAAGCUGGGACGCCAGUCUCGGUGGAGCCACCGUUGAAAUACCACCCUGGUUUAUUCUUGGCUCUAACCUGUCGCCGUUAUCCGGCAUGGGAACAGUGGCUGGUGGGUAGUUUGACUGGGGCGGUCGCCUCCGAAAGCGUAGCAGAGGCGCCCAAAGGUUCCCUCAGGCUGAAUGGAAACCAGCCGUUGAGUGUAAAGGCACAAGGGAGCUUGACUGCAAGACCUACAAGUCGCGCAGGGACGAAAGUCGGGCUUAGUGAUCCCACGGUUCAGAGUGGAAUGGCCGUGGCUUACCGGAUAAAAGCUACUCCGGGGAUAACAGGGUAGUCUGGUCCAAGAGUUCAUAUCGACGACCAGGUUCGCCACCUCGAUGUCGGCUCAUCACAUCCUGGGGCUGGAUAGGGUCCCAAGGGUUGGGCUGUUCGCCCAUUAAAGUGGUACGUGAGCUGGGUUCAGACCGUCGUGAGACAGGUCGGUCUCUAUCCGCUGUGGGCGUAAGGGAUUUGAGAGAAGCUGCCCCUAGUACGAGAGGACCGGGGUGGACGGACCUCUAGUGUGCCAGUUGUUCUGCCAAGAGCAUUGCUGGGUAGCUACGUCCGGCAGAGAUAACCGCUGAAAGCAUCUAAGUGGGAAACUCGUCUCAAGAUUAGAUCCCUCCUCUUUAUGAGAUAAGACCGCUGGAAGACUACCAGCUUGAUAGGCGGCAGGUGUAAGCAUAGUAAUAUGUUCAGCUUAGCCGUACUAAUGGUCGA
rnacentral:rRNA from 1 species